rnacentral:tRNA from 1 species
GCCUGGGUGGCGGAAUAGGUAGACGCAAGGGACUUAAAAUCCCUCGGUCCUUGUGGCUGUGCGAGUUCAAUUCUCGCCCUAGGCACCA